rnacentral:rRNA from 1 species
UACAGAGGUCUCAAGCGUUUGUUCGGAUUCAUUGGGCGUAAAGGGUGCGUAGGUGGCGCGGUAAGUCGGGUGUGAAAUCUCGGAGCUUAACUCCGAAAUUGCAUUCGAUACUGCCGUGCUUGAGGACUGGAGAGGAGACUGGAAUUCAUGGUGUAGCAGUGAAAUGCGUAGAGAUCAUGAGGAAGACCAGUGGGCGAAGGCGGGUCUCUGGACAGUUCCUGACACUGAGGCACGAAGGCCAGGGGAGCAAACGGG